GUGUUAGCUUUGGUAGCACAUAUACUAAAAUUGGAACAAUACAGAAAAGAUUAACAUGGCCCCUGCACAAGGAUAACAUGCAAGCUCUUGAAGCGUUCCAUAUUUUU